UUUAUCNCCUNCAGAGAACUUUCCAGAGAUGGAUUGGUGCCUUCGGGAACUCUGAGACAGGUGCUGCAUGGCUGUCGUCAGCUCGUGUUGUGAAAUGUUGGGUUAAGUCCCGCAACGAGCGCAACCCUUAUCCUUUGUUGCCAGCGGUUCGGCCGGGAACUCAAAGGAGACUGCCAGUGAUAAACUGGAGGAAGGUGGGGAUGACGUCAAGUCAUCAUGGCCCUUACGAGUAGGGCUACACACGUGCUACAAUGGCGCAUACAAAGAGAAGCGACCUCGCGAGAGCAAGCGGACCUCAUAAAGUGCGUCGUAGUCCGGAUUGGAGUCUGCAACUCGACUCCAUGAAGUCGGAAUCGCUAGUAAUCGUAGAUCAGAAUGCUACGGUGAAUACGUUCCCGGGCCUUGUACAA
rnacentral:rRNA from 1 species